rnacentral:rRNA from 1 species
GCCUAAAAUCUAGCCUUCAUAUACAUAUGACCUCACUAAUUCACCGCCCUGAAUAAAACAUUUUUACAUUUUAGUACAGGCGACAGAAAAACUUCUAAGCGCUUCAGACGAAGUACCGCAAGGGAAUAAUGAAAUAGAAAUGAAAUAACUUUAAAGCCCUAAAUAGCAAAGACACCCCCUUGUACCUUUUGCAUCAUGGUCUAGCUAGUCUACCCAAGCAAAAUGAAACUUUCAGUUUGACACCCCGAAACUAAGCGAGCUACUUCAAAACAGCCCUAAGAGCUAAUCCGUCUCUGUUGCAAAAGAGUGGAAAGAUUUUCAAGUAGAAGUGAUAAACCUAUCGAGCUUAGAGAUAGCUGGUUGUUCAGGAAAAGAGUUUUAGCUCUACCUUAAGUUUUUUUAUUACACCAAAAAACCCCCUAAACUUAAGAGCCAUUCAAGUAAGGCACAGCUUAUUUGAAAUAGGGCACAACCUCUAGCACAGGGUAAAUAAAGGUAAUUCAAACAAAGUCGGCCUAAAAGCAGCCACCUUUCAAAAAGCGUUAAAGCUUAACCAUUUACUCACCCCCAAUUUCUUAAACCCUAAUUAACCCCUCAUUAUUACUGAACUAUUUUAUAUCCUUAUAAAAGCUAUUAUGCUAGAACUAGUAACAAGAAGUAGUCCUUCUCCAAAAUGUAAGCUUACACCAAAAUGGACCCUCCAUUGGUAGUCAACGCGAAUGUCUUAAUCACAGCAACACACCACUAGAAAACCCUGUGACCUCCCACGUUACCCUUACACCAGAACAUUUCAGGAAAGAUUAAAAGAGAAAGAAGGAACUCGGCAAAUCCUCAGCCCCGCCUGUUUACCAAAAACAUCGCCUCUUG